rnacentral:rRNA from 2 species
CUGAGGCGUGACGACGAGGCACUACGGUGCUGAAGCAACAAAUGCCCUGCUUCCAGGAAAAGCCUCUAAGCAUCAGGUAACAUCAAAUCGUACCCCAAACCGACACAGGUGGUCAGGUAGAGAAUACCAAGGCGCUUGAGAGAACUCGGGUGAAGGAACUAGGCAAAAUGGUGCCGUAACUUCGGGAGAAGGCACGCUGACA